rnacentral:rRNA from 1 species
GACAUAGGUGGCGAACGUUAUCCGGAUUUAUUGGGGCGUAAAGGAUGCGUAGAUGGUAGAAUAAGUUAUUGGUCGAAAUCGAGCUCAACUUGAUGGAGGCUAGUAAUACUGUUCUACUAGAGGGCAGAAGAGGUUAGCGGAACUUACACAAGUAGGGGUGAAAUCCAAUGAUCUGUGAGGGACCACCAAAAAAGGCGAAGGCAGCUAACUAUUCUGUUCCUGACAUUGGAGGCAUG